rnacentral:rRNA from 1 species
AACGAACGCUGGCGGCAUGCCUAACACAUGCAAGUCGAACGAGACCUUCGGGUCUAGUGGCGCACGGGUGCGUAACGCGUGGGAACCUGCCUUUAGGUUCGGAAUAACUUCCCGAAAGGGAUGCUAAUACCGGAUAAUGUCUUCGGACCAAAGAUUUAUCGCCUUUAGAUGGGCCCGCGUAAGAUUAGGUAGUUGGUGGGGUAAAGGCCUACCAAGCCGACGAUCUUUAGCUGGUCUGAGAGGAUGAUCAGCCACACUGGGACUGAGACACGGCCCAGACUCCUACGGGAGGCAGCAGUGGGGAAUAUUGGACAAUGGGCGAAAGCCUGAUCCAGCAAUGCCGCGUGAGUGAUGAAGGCCUUAGGGUUGUAAAGCUCUUUUACCAGGGAUGAUAAUGACGGUACCUGGAGAAUAAGCUCCGGCUAACUCCGUGCCAGCAGCCGCGGUAACAC